GCUGGGCUCUGUGGUGCAGGCCUGGAAUCCCAGCAACUCAGGAGGCUGAGGCAGGAGGAUUGCAAGUUUGAGGCCAGCCUCAGCAACUUAGCAAGACCCUGUCUAAA
rnacentral:sRNA from 1 species